rnacentral:ncRNA from 1 species
AUUCGCAAAGGGCAAACCCGCCGAAAGGCGGCGACGCAAAGUCUCCGGUCUAGGGAGCCUCGGCUCUACGACAGCGGGACCGCCGUA